GCCGGGUUAGCUCAGUUGGUAGAGCAACUGAUUUGUAAUCAGUAGGUCGUCGGUUCGACUCCGUCCCCCGGCUCCA
rnacentral:tRNA from 1 species